GUCAGGAGAAGGCUAUUGCUCCUUGUUUUUAAUAAUGAUAUAACUUAUUGAUCAGUUUGAGGUGUGUUUCGACUUCAAUUUAUCAUUACUGUUCAUAGUAUGAAAGGGGUGAAAUCUAUUUCACAAACAAUAUACUGGAAACAUUAUUGGUAAAACAUUUAUAUGAAUUUUUGUUGUGUCUGGUUUGGUAUGUUAUUUGUUUAUUUUUUGAUUGUUUAACCCUCCUUGUAAUAAUGAAGAUAUAAUAUUUCUGUUUUAUUGGAGGAUUUGUUACAAGUCUGCUUGAAAGUUUUGUGAUGGUACAUGAACAUAUUUUAAAUACAUGUUUCUCAAAUGAUCAUACUUUGAAUGAUAAGACCUCAUAAAGAAUUGUAUAGGAACAUUU
rnacentral:lncRNA from 1 species